rnacentral:lncRNA from 1 species
GCGUGAGCCACCAUGCCCAGCCCUCAACAUACGAAUUUUGAGAGGACACAAUUUAACCCAUUACUGAGCACCACAGAAAUUCUCAUGAAAGGUCUGUCAGGACUCCACCAUUUUGACAUGACCCUCGUUUUCCCCCACAAUCCCCCUUCCAGGACCCCAUUGUGAUGUCACAUUUCAGGUCAAAGCAUUACAUGUUAUUCUUAACACCUGCCACUUCUCUCUUCCCACCUCUAUCUGCCUUAUUGAACUUCAUCUUUCCUUCAUUCUCUUCAACUUCCACUUCUUCUUGUAUGGUCCUGUUGAUGCCAUCUUGUUUCCGUCCCCAGACUCAUCAUCUUUACCCUCUGUCAACUGAGUUCCCACCCUGGUUCUCUCUCAAGAUCUUCCUCUCAUAGCUUUCACCCUUGGUAAACAAUGAGGACACAUCUCAAAAAGAAUGAUGUAAUUUAAUUGCCUUGAGUUGGCUGGGCCAUCAUCUAUUAUAAAGUGCUCUUAAAAUUAAAGCUAAUUUAAUUCUGAAGAACUAAGGAUUAAGAAGUUAAGAGCUGGGGUUCUUACAAUAUGGCUUGCAGACUACAAGUGUGAACUGAGGAGGUCCCCAAAGUCACUUCUUACUAAGUUCAGAUAGGUGAUGGAUUGAAAAUAAUCCCAAUAUUCCACAAGCAACAUCAACAUCCCCCACACACCCAGCACCGAGGAAUACCCUCCUCUCUAGAAUGUGAGGCCACUGUGUGGAGGAAGACACCACGGUGCUCUACUGAGCCAUGAAAGUCACGCCUGACCUAAACAGAAGACUACGUCCCCUGGCUAAAAGAGGAAAUAGUUGAAAGCGGUGUAAAUGGCUCUUAUCUGAACCACAAUGAAUUCACAUAUUCAAGUUGGCUUCUUCGGAAAUUUCAGGCCACAAAUGGCAGUGAUGCGACCAGGAGCAGUAACACGUGCCACUUCCAUCCGGACAGAAGGAACCCAGGUCAAGGCUGACAGGAGGAGCAGGAGCCGUCAAUGAGAGCAGACCUCAGAAGCCAACGGAGGUGAGAAGAGCACCAUCCACAGCCCCAUCCUCUGAAUGCUGUGGGAAGAAGUCCACAAAAUACCACCCCUUGGAGUCAGUCAGUAGUAGAGCCCUUGCUGCUGGCUGCAAAUACCCCAUCAGAACAUGUUUGGGGUGAUUCUUGGACCUGGUUUCAAUUUCUUUUCUGCCAGUCAGCAGUUGUGCUUGACUCACAAUUUGUUGCCAUCUCUUGAAUUAAACUCAGGAAACAGGAUAAAGAUCAGAACCACAUUGUAAAAGCUUCCUUAUGGUUCAUUUUUUGCUGAGAUAAAUAAUGAGCAGCUCUGAUCCAUGUCUCUGGAGAGCUCAGAGCACACUACCAGGAGCUCCUAGCCACAGGGUGAGCACAGGU